rnacentral:rRNA from 1 species
UACGAGGGGGGCAAGCGUUGUUCGGAAUUAUUGGGCGUAAAGGGCGCGUAGGCGGUGCGGUAAGUCACCUGUGAAACCUCUAGGCUUAACCUAGAGCCUGCAGGCGAAACUGCCGUGCUUGAGGGUGGGAGAGGUGCGUGGAAUUCCCGGUGUAGCGGUGAAAUGCGUAGAUAUCAGGAGGAACACCUGUGGUGUAGACGGCUCUCUGGACAGUAACUGACGCUGAGACACGAAAGCGUGGGUAGCAAACAGG